GAACAUAACAGGUCUUUUUUUAUUUAUUUAAAAUGCAAUUUGCAUUAAAAGCCCAAAAGGGCAAAGACUAACUUUUCACUUGGGCUAACAAUAAACUGAAAAGAAAGGGAAGCCCACUCUGAGAAGGAGAAAACCAACCCAGUUAACCAAAUCAACCCAACCCAAACCAUGCAAACCCACACCCACUAAACAAACCCACCUCCCAUCUUCAAACCCUAGGAUUAUUUAAAGAACACUAACGAAGAGUCCGUCGAUCAUCACAAGAGAUCCACCAAAGGUCGCCCCCAUGAACACGGAACUUAGAUCGCCAUCAAAUGCAAGGAGCUAAUGCCCAUCUAAGCACAACAUCCAACUUAACAGAGAAAAGCCUUCCCACUUCUCAAUAGUGACAGCUCUACCAUCAACGGAGGGGUGCUGUCGUAGAGCUCCUUGACACUCUAAGCCAACAGGAUGACCUUUCCAGCCCUGGUGUAGAAGUAGAUCCCGGAGUUACGAACCAGCUGAAGAAAAUGAAGCCUCUUUUGACACAUGGAAUGCAUACCCAAACUGAGAUGGUGGCAAAGAUCCAUCAAACAGGAAUAAAGUCUUCCUCCUGAGAACCUUCUGCCAUCCCCUCUCUACCCCAGCUCUUUCUAAACGAGCAAAGAAAUAGGUCUACUAAUAUGCUCUCUCCCUGAAAAUCCAACCUGCAAGUAAAACCAUAUCCAUAUACAACCCAGACCCAGCUAAGGGAGGACUAUCCUCAAGGCCAAGCUAGGAAACAAAACAACUAUGGCCUUCCCCUGCCCGAAGGCAGAGGAAGCUAACGAGGAGAAGAUGGAAAAACUAAAAAUUAGUUUUCUUUUUUCUCUCGGCGAAACCGAGAGAACU
rnacentral:misc_RNA from 1 species